GGGUAAGACCUGUACGGCCAGCUCCUGUUGAACUCCCCCAGGUCCGGAAGGGAGCAAGGGUAAAACGGUUGAGCGGUGCGAUACAGUGUUCUUACCCUUU
rnacentral:SRP_RNA from 1 species